GGGGGUAUAGCUUAGUGGUGGAGUGCAUGUCCAGCAUGCUUGAGGUUCAGGGUUCAAUCCCCAGUACCUCCA
rnacentral:tRNA from 1 species